GCCAAACAGCUAGCUUAAACACACAGACCAUCUCAACAACAUCCUAUAAAUCUUACCAAACCCCAGCUAUAUAACUAAAACAUUCUCCUGCCCUAGUAUGUGAGACAGAAAAGGCCCCACAAAGCAAUAAAAAAGUACCGCAAGGGAAGGCUGAAAGAGAAAUGAAAUAAACCAUUAAAGCUCAAAGAAGCAGAGACUAACACUCGUACCUUUUGCAUCAUGAUUUAGCCAGCCACCCUGAGCAAAGAGCACUUUAGUUCAAUACCCCGAAACUAGGUGAGCUACCCCGAGGUAGCCUAUUACAGGGCCAACCCGUCUCUGUUGCAAAAGAGUGGGAAAACCUCCGGGUAGGGGUGACAGACCUACCGAACCUAGUUAUAGCUGGUUGCCUAAGAAAUGGAUAGAAGUUCAGCCUCGCACUCCUCAGCCCACAAAAAGUUACCACUAACCCCAAGAGUUCGAGAAAUAUGCGAGAGUUAAUUAGAGGAGGUACAGCUCCUCUGAAGAGGGAUACAACCCAACCAGGAGGUUAAAGAUUAUACUAACCAAGAUCACUGCUUCAGUGGGCCUAAAAGCAGCCACCUGGGUAAAAAGCGUUAAAGCUCAAGCAGUCCACAAUCUAUUAUUCUAAUACAAACAUCUCAAACCCCUAGCCCUAUUAGGCCACUCUAUGCUGACAUAGAAGUGACACUGCUAAAAUGAGUAAUAAGAAGACACCUCUUCUCCAAGCCCACGUGCAAGCUAGAUCGGACCACCCACUAGUCAAUAACGAACCCACCCAAAGAGGGCACUGUGAUUAAAAAUAUAACCAAGAAAAAUUCACAACUUUAACAUCGUUAACCCCACACUGGAGGGCAUAAAAGGAAAGACUAAAAGAAGGGGAAGGAACUCGGCAAACACAAGCCUCGCCUGUUUACCAAAAACAUCGCCUCCUGCAAAAAUCAACGUAUAGGAGGUCCUGCCUGCCCAGUGACCAUAGGUUAAACGGCCGCGGUAUUUUGACCGUGCAAAGGUAGCGCAAUCACUUGUCUUUUAAUUGGAGACCUGUAUGAAUGGUGGUACGAGGGCUUAGCUGUCUCCCCCUUCCAGUCAAUGAAAUUGAUCUACCCGUGCAGAAGCGGGUAUAAUAAUACAAGACGAGAAGACCCUUUGGAGCUUAAGACAAAAGACCAACUAUGUCAAAAGCCUAACAAGACUAAACCAAAUAACACUGGUCUCAAUCUUCGGUUGGGGUGACCACGGGAGAAAAUAAAGCUCCCACGCGGAGGGGGUAGUCCCUAAAACUAAGAAAGACAUCUCUAAGGCACAGAAUUUCUGACCAUAAAGAUCCGGCCACACGCCGACCAACGGACCAAGUUACCCUAGGGAUAACAGCGCAAUCCCCUUUCAGAGCCCAUAUCGACAAGGGGGUUUACGACCUCGAUGUUGGAUCAGGACAUCCUAAUGGUGCAGCCGCUAUUAAGGGUUCGUUUGUUCAACGAUUAAAGUCCUACGUGAUCUGAGUUCAGACCGGAGCAAUCCAGGUCAGUUUCUAUCUGUAACACUAUUCUUCCUAGUACGAAAGGACCGGAAAAAUGGAGCCCAUGUUUAAAACAUGCUCCCCCCAACUUAAUGAAAGCAACUAAAUUAAGUAAAANNNNNNNNNNNNNNNNNNNNNNNNNNNNNNNNN
rnacentral:rRNA from 1 species